AGUAGUUUGAUCAGUGGCUCGAGGACGAACGCUGGCGGCGUGCUUAACACAUGCAAGUCGAACGAGACGAUUUUAAGCUUGCUUAGAUGAGUCGAGUGGCAAACGGGUGAGUAACGCGUAGACAACCUGCCGCAAAGAUGGGGACAACAGUCCGAAAGGACUGCUAAUACCGAAUGUUGUCAGUUUCUCGCAUGGGAGAUUGAUUAAAGAUGGCCUCUACUUGUAAGCUAUCGCUUUGCGAUGGGUCUGCGUCUGAUUAGCUGGUUGGCGGGGUAGCGGCCCACCAAGGCGACGAUCAGUAGCCGGUCUGAGAGGAUGAACGGCCACAUUGGAACUGAGACACGGUCCAAACUCC
rnacentral:rRNA from 1 species